UGGAUAAAUUAUCUAAAUUUACACCUGGGUAAAUAUAUUUAUAGUGGGGGUUUUUUUUAUUAGAAGUGGUGUACAGGUGAGUAAAUGAUAUUUUGGCUACCUUAAAGUGAGGUUUAAAAAUGCCUUGAGGAAAAAAAUUCCGCUUUAAGAGGACAAUGAAUAUUUCGGAUAGGUAGUCGAUAAAGUAAUUUUUUUANCGAGCUUAUAAUUCCGUAAUCGUAACUGAGAGGUUGAUCGAUCACAUUGGGUCUGAAAAAGCCCAAUACGUAUAGUACAGCAGUGGGGAAUAUUGGUCAAUAGCCGUCAGGCUGAACCAGCAACUUGGGAGUAUGUAUAGCUUUUAACUAAGCUAAUAUCACGUACUAAUGGUGUGUAUAAACCAUUUAUACGGUAGAGAGAAAUAACUCUACAAGACCAUAAGAAGGUGGGCUGGCCCAGCAAUGGGUAGGUGCCAACUCGAUACCCGUAAGGGGGACGGGGGUAAAUCACGAGUACGUGAGGACCCGGCUAAGCGGAAAACUAUCUUUUUCUAGGCGUAAGGGGAAUUAUAUUUUUCGAGUCGUCUUCUUAAGAGGGUGUUUAAACAAUUUAAUAUAGUCGUUGCCUACAAACACUAAUAUAAAUUGGAAUAAACUUUACUUUGAUAUAUCGAUUUACUCGAAUAAAAUACUAGGUAGUAAAAUAUCUUAAUGUAAAGGGUUAAGAUUUCUCUAAUAUAGGAAUUACGAAUUGAUUAUGACCUUAAGCUAUCUACAAGUCUUGACCAAAAUACGUGCCAGCAGUCGCGGUAAUACGUAAAAGACUAGUGUUAUUCAUCUUUACCAGGUUUAAAGGGUACCUAGACGGUAAAAAUCGUCGUAAAGAUACGAUUAUACUAGAGUUAUAUAUAAGGAGGUGAGUAUUUAUGGAGUGUGAGAGUUGAAAUUUGUUCAUACCAUAAGGACUGGUAAAGGCGAAAGCAACCUUUUAUCUAAUAACUGACGUUGAGGGACGAAGGCUCGGGUCGCGAACAGGAUUAGACACCCUAGUAGUCCAAGCAGAA
rnacentral:ncRNA from 1 species